rnacentral:rRNA from 1 species
UACGUAGGGUGCAAGCGUUGUCCGGAAUUAUUGGGCGUAAAGAGCUUGUAGGCUGUUUGUCGCGUCUGCUGUGAAAUUUCGGGGCUCAACCCCGAACUUGCAGUGGGUACGGGCAGACUAGAGUGUGGUAGGGGAGACUGGAAUUCCUGGUGUAGCGGUGAAAUGCGCAGAUAUCAGGAGGAACACCGAUGGCGAAGGCAGGUCUCUGGGCCAUAACUGACGCUGAGAAGCGAAAGCAUGGGGAGCGAACGGG